rnacentral:rRNA from 1 species
AGAGUUUGAUCCUGGCUCAGGACGAACGCUGGCGGCGUGCUUAACACAUGCAAGUCGAACGAUGAUGCCCAGCUUGCUGGGUGGAUUAGUGGCGAACGGGUGAGUAACACGUGAGUAACCUGCCCCUGACUCUGGGAUAAGCGUUGGAAACGACGUCUAAUACUGGAUAUGAUCACUGGCCGCAUGGUCUGGUGGUGGAAAGAUUUUUUGGUUGGGGAUGGACUCGCGGCCUAUCAGCUUGUUGGUGAGGUAAUGGCUCACCAAGGCGACGACGGGUAGCCGGCCUGAGAGGGUGACCGGCCACACUGGGACUGAGACACGGCCCAGACUCCUACGGGAGGCAGCAGUGGGGAAUAUUGCACAAUGGGCGAAAGCCUGAUGCAGCAACGCCGCGUGAGGGAUGACGGCCUUCGGGUUGUAAACCUCUUUUAGUAGGGAAGAAGCGAAAGUGACGGUACCUGCAGAAAAAGCACCGGCUAACUACGUGCCAGCAGCCGCGGUAAUACGUAGGGUGCAAGCGUUGUCCGGAAUUAUUGGGCGUAAAGAGCUCGUAGGCGGUUUGUCGCGUCUGCUGUGAAAUCCCGAGGCUCAACCUCGGGCUUGCAGUGGGUACGGGCAGACUAGAGUGCGGUAGGGGAGAUUGGAAUUCCUGGUGUAGCGGUGGAAUGCGCAGAUAUCAGGAGGAACACCGAUGGCGAAGGCAGAUCUCUGGGCCGUAACUGACGCUGAGGAGCGAAAGCAUGGGGAGCGAACAGGAUUAGAUACCCUGGUAGUCCAUGCCGUAAACGUUGGGCGCUAGAUGUAGGGACCUUUCCACGGUUUCUGUGUCGUAGCUAACGCAUUAAGCGCCCCGCCUGGGGAGUACGGCCGCAAGGCUAAAACUCAAAGGAAUUGACGGGGGCCCGCACAAGCGGCGGAGCAUGCGGAUUAAUUCGAUGCAACGCGAAGAACCUUACCAAGGCUUGACAUACACCGGAAACGGCCAGAGAUGGUCGCCCCCUUGUGGUCGGUGUACAGGUGGUGCAUGGUUGUCGUCAGCUCGUGUCGUGAGAUGUUGGGUUAAGUCCCGCAACGAGCGCAACCCUCGUUCUAUGUUGCCAGCGGGUUAUGCCGGGGACUCAUAGGAGACUGCCGGGGUCAACUCGGAGGAAGGUGGGGAUGACGUCAAAUCAUCAUGCCCCUUAUGUCUUGGGCUUCACGCAUGCUACAAUGGCCGGUACAAAGGGCUGCGAUACCGUAAGGUGGAGCGAAUCCCAAAAAGCCGGUCUCAGUUCGGAUUGAGGUCUGCAACUCGACCUCAUGAAGUCGGAGUCGCUAGUAAUCGCAGAUCAGCAACGCUGCGGUGAAUACGUUCCCGGGCCUUGUACACACCGCCCGUCAAGUCAUGAAAGUCGGUAACACCCGAAGCCGGUGGCCUAACCCUUGUGGAAGGAGCCGUCGAAGGUGGGAUCGGUGAUUAGGACUAAGUCGUAACAAGGUAGCCGUA